rnacentral:tRNA from 3 species
CCGGUAGUUCAGUUGGUUAGAAUGCCAGCCUGUCACGCUGGAGGUCGAGGGUUCGAGCCCCUUCCG